AUUAAAGAGUUCUAUAACUCCCAAACCCAUGUGAACAUACUUAACGUUGCCUCGGCAGGUCGCACCUACCUUGUAGCACCUUACCCUGUAAGGCCUACCCGGGAGGUGCGGGUAAGCCUGCCGGCGGCCCACCAAACUCUGUUUGAUAUUGAAUUCUGAACCUAUAACUAAAUAAGUUAAAACUUUCAACAACGGAUCUCUUGGUUCUGGCAUCGAUGAAGAACGCAGCGAAAUGCGAUAAGUAAUGUGAAUUGCAGAAUUCAGUGAAUCAUCGAAUCUUUGAACGCAUAUUGCGCCCAUUAGUAUUCUAGUGGGCAGGACCGUUCGAGCGUCAUUUCAACCCUUAAGCCUUCGUUGCUUAGUGUUGGGAGCCUACGGCAACGUAGCUCCUCAAAGUUAGUGGCGGAGUUGGUUCACACUCUAGACGUAGUAAUUUUUUAUCUCGCCUAUUAGUUGAACUAAUACCCUGCCGUAAAACCCCCAAUUUAUCAAGGUUGACCUCGAAUCGGUUCAGACAAACUCGCUAAAUUGAAGCAUCUUAGUCAGCGAAGGAAAAGAAACCAACAGGGAUUGCCCUAGUAACGG
rnacentral:rRNA from 1 species